rnacentral:misc_RNA from 1 species
GAUGAAGAACGUAGCGAAAUGCGAUAAGUAAUGUGAAUUGCAGAAUUCAGUGAAUCAUCGAAUCUUUGAACGCACCUUGCGCUCCUUGGUAUUCCGAGGGGCAUGCCUGUUCGAGCGUCAUUAUAACCCCUCAAGCUCAGCUUGGUGUUGGGGCCUGCUGCACUGGCAGCCCUUAAAAUCAGUGGCGGCGCCAUCUGGCUCUAAGCGUAGUAAUUCUUCUCGCUAUGGAGUCCUGGUGGAUGCUUGCCAUCAACCCCCAAUUUUUCUAUGGUUGACCUCGGAUCAGGUAGGGAUACCCGCUGAACUUAAGCAUAUCAAUAAGCGGAGGA